rnacentral:rRNA from 1 species
CUGACCUCAAAUCAGGCAGGACUACCCGCUGAACUUAAGCAUAUCAA